CAAAGGCAUGGUCCCGACCUUAUUAUCAACUCUAGCCCAACUUACACAUGCAAGUCUCCGAGCCCCGUGAGUAAGCCCCUCAAUCCCCUGCCCGGGGACGAGGAGCCGGCAUCAGGCACAAAUAUUUAGCCCAAAACGCCAGGCCGAGCCACACCCCCAAGGGAAUUCAGCAGUGAUAAAUAUUGAGCCAUAAGUGAAAACUUGACUCAGUUAGAGCUAAGAGAGCCGGUAAAACUCGUGCCAGCCACCGCGGUUAAACGAGAGGCCCUAGUUGAUAACACGACGGCGUAAAGGGUGGUUAAGGAUAGCAAAACAAUAAAGUCGAAUGGCCCUUUGGCUGUCAUACGCUUCUAGGAGUCCGAAGCCCAACAUACGAAAGUAACUUUAAAAAGCCCACCUGACCCCACGAAAACUGAGAAACAAACUGGGAUUAGAUACCCCACUAUGCUCAGUCAUAAACCCAGACGUCCAGCUACAAUUUGACGUCCGCCCGGGUACUACGAGCAUUAGCUUGAAACCCAAAGGACCUGACGGUGCCUCAGACCCCCCUAGAGGAGCCUGUUCUAGAACCGAUAACCCCCGUUAAACCUCACCGCUUCUAGCCAUCCCAGCCUAUAUACCGCCGUCGUCAGCUUACCCUG
rnacentral:rRNA from 1 species